rnacentral:lncRNA from 1 species
GGGGCAGUGGAUCUUUGCACUACUGCUUGAGCCAAGCAUCUUUGUACAGUAGAUUCUUUUUGCUUCUCUGGUAAGAUCCUCUUAAAACUAUCUGAGUAGUUUGGGAGAAAUUCCCACAAUUACAAACUGCAUUAAUGUAAGAAAAGAUACAUCUUCUUUUCAAUCUCGUAUUGAAUUGUAAUUUUUGGUAUUUUUUUCAAAGUAUACAGGGGGUUUGCCCAUAGCUCUAAACACAGGGAUAGCACUGAAGCCUAGUGAAAUGCUUGCUGUCAACUAAAUACUCUCCCUAAACUGUCUGGGGGCUUUAGGAACAAACUGAAGAGUUGUAUGGUACUUCAGGAAAAAAGAAAAAAAAACAAACAAAACCAAAAACCAUGCAACAGGAUUUUGUCUCCUGGUUUAUCAGUAAGAGCUAAAAAGAAUUCUAUCCUGUUUCUGCAAGGUCAACAUCAGCCUUGUAUUGAAUCUUCUUGAAAUGGAACUAUUAAAUUUACACUUAUAAAAAUGUGCUUAAUGUACAAAGCCAGUUUAAAGGAUUAGGUUCAUAAUGUCUAUAAAAAUCAAUAGUGUCUUAGAAUUCAGAUUUUGAAAUUAGCAUUUUGCUGGGAUUUACAAGUAUUGGUAUAAUCUUUAUAUGUGAAAACUCAAAAGCUCUCCACAGAAUCUUUAUACGGAUGCAGUAGUUAUUAGUGCACAAGUUUUUCAUUUCCAUGGGUUAUUUUUUUUUAAAGCUCUGUGAAAGCUGGCUACAGAUUUUCAAGAACCAAAUCUUAGGAAAAAAAGGCAAAUCCAAAACAACAACAUCAUCUGAUGCUUCUAUUUUACUACUAUUUUUUUCAUAUUUGAAACAUUUAUGUAAUUUAAUGGACAUAUCUGUUAGAAGGAAAGUGUCUUUCAAAGGAAAACUAGUUUAGAAGAUAAUUUAUGUAAAUAUAGGGUGCUCGUAUUUAUGAAGUCUAAAAUAUUUUCUGAAAUUGAUGCUGGUCACUUUGUCUUUUGAUAGUUUUUCAGUCUAUAUUAAAUUGCAGAUAUUUUUAAUGUUUUUAUUAUUGAUCUAAUUUUCAGAGGUGUCACAUGUUUAUCUAGAAGUGUAGAAGAGUAGCACCUUUUUCAGAAAUGCACUUGCCUUAUUUUCUAAUUUUAAAAAAAAUGAAAUAUAUCAGUUAAAUUAUAUUUGUAUUCAAAGUAAUCCCAGAAAGAAAAUCACUGGAGGGUUCAUACAUAAAUUUCUUGCUAAUUAUGUUUCACUCUUUGUCCUCUGAGACAUGACGUUAACAAUAUACCAGCACAUCUGUUUGCAUUCACAUUGCAGUUACAAGUACUGAGAAAGGGGUUUUUUUUAAUGAUGUUACACUGUUUACAUUUCUUAGUUUAUUUAAGAGGAAGAUAAUUUUACCUUUGCAAUGAAUCGAACUCAACCUCCGAAUGUCAUGGGAAUGAAGUGUUUCAAUCAUGUACAAUAUACAUAUCUGGAAUGUUUCAGUGGUGUACAAAUUACAUAUCUGGAAUGUUUCAUAGUGUACAAAUUACAUAUCUGAAAUGUUUCAGUAGUGUACAAAUUACAUAUCUGGAAUGUUUCAGUGGUGUACAAAUCUCCAGCUCCUGGUGUGCAGGUCACCAAUGGAAAGGCACUGGUUCUGCUCCAGUUUUAUGCAGUUUUCUGGGAGAACAGCCUGCCCUGUCAUGUAUGUUUGUCUGAUUCAGAGGGAUCCUUUCCCAGCACACCCGUGAUGUUUGUGUUAAUCUGAUUUUUUGGCUAAAACCAAGCCAGGAGCACUGGCUGAAAGCUCCAGGGAGCGUUCCCAGGAAUAUUGUCACUUGUUCUGGUUUCAGCUGACUGUGGUCCACGUGAGCAGUAUGAUCUAAAAUGAUUUCUUCUUGAGAAUUGAGAUACAAGAGCGUUCCCAUAGUUCCCUUCUGUAAUAUGCAAAUAAUCAUGAAUAUCUGUAUAUUUUUGCAUUUUUGUGUGUGGUAUAUGUACUACCUCAGACAAAUGCUGUAAAAAAAACCAUAAUAUUUUCAUGGUUUCUAUCCAAGCCACAAUUCAUUAGUAACCUACUUUAAAUUCAUCCCACAACACCCCAAACUCUGAGAAUCUGGCCGAGUUUUAGGUUUGGCUCUGGAAAUCCUCCUAUAGCUUUUGUUAAGGAAACUUUGCAGCGUUCAGCUUUCACAUCCCUUGGGCAAACCCUGCUUUGAUGGGUGACUCCAGCCCUUCCUGCCCUGAGAAUGAUCUAGUUGGUGAAUAUUUCAAACAGGUAAUAAUAGUUCUGUGGGAGCAAACUUCCCUGUGUGUGUAAAUUGCUUUUUUCCAUUCAGCAAAGGCUUGGCCAAGUUCUACUUUGCUGUUUGCCUUCCAAGUGCUGCAAGGUCGGGCAGGACAAGUGCUGAGCAGUGUCCAGCCCACCUCUGAUGUGCCAUACUGUAUUUGCAAGUUUUAAACUCAUUUUUAAAUAAGUAUCGUGAGAAAACUCUUCUUCUGCGGUGUCUCCGCACACGCCCGCGCAUGCACGCGAAAUGUAAAUAAAAAAUAAUUAAAAUUAAAAAAAAUCAAAGCAAAUGCAGCCAAAUGCCUCAGCUUCAGGUGUCUGCAGGUCUCCUAGUGCUGCUUUUGUGCUGCAGGGAGGGAGUUGUGCAUCCUGCAGUCCUGCAAGCACCCGCUGGUGUCACGGGCAGAGUGGGAAAGGAGGAGAAUUUGUUCUUGGAGUGCUCCUAGCACUGUUUGAGGUGAUACAUAUGCCACAGAACGUGAACAAUAACCUACUACAGCUCAGUCAAUCUGCUACCAUGCACCAUUUGAUUUCCCUUUUGGAAGUCAUAGGACUCCUGAUGCCAAAAAAAAAAAAAAAAGGAUCAAAAAAAAAAAAA